rnacentral:rRNA from 1 species
CUUCGGCCCGAGUUGUAAUUUGCAGAGGAUGUAUUUGGCGCGGUGCCUUCCGAGUUCCCUGGAACGGGACGCCAUAGAGGGUGAGAGCCCCGUCUGGUUGGACACUAAGCCUAUGUAAUACUCCUUCGACGAGUCGAGUAGUUUGGGAAUGCUGCUCUAAAUGGGAGGUAAAUCUCUUCUAAAGCUAAAUACCGGCCAGAGACCGAUAGCGCACAAGUAGAGUGAUCGAAAGAUGAAAAGCACCUUGAAAAGGGGGUUAAACAGUACGUGAAAUUGUUGAAAGGGAAGCGUUUAUGACCAGACUUGUGCCGUGUGGCUCAUCCGGGGUUCUCCCCGGUGCACUCCAUACGGUUCAGGCCAACAUCGGUUCUCGUUGGGGGAUAAGAACAGUAGGAACGUGGCCCUCUUCGGAGGGUGUUAUAGCCUAUUGUACGAUACCUUGAUGGGGACCGAGGACCGCGCUUCGGCUAGGAUGUUGGCGUAAUGGUCAUUAGCGACCCGUCUU